AGCCGUGCUCAGGCUCUGCUCUGUGCUUGGCCCUGUGUCCCACCCCCGCUCCCCUGGGCAGGGUCAGGGAGAAGGGAAUUGAAGGCGGUGUCUUUGGCUGACACCAGCCCGCUGGGGAGGGAUGAGAGGAAGGGGGUCUUGGGGGCUGGGUUCAGAGCAAGGUUAGCCAAAUAUCGGAUAAAUUAAGCAAGAGAAACAGACAGCUCAGCUUGCAGUGAACUUUUCACCCAGCUAACCUGUUCCUCACCCUGCCUUGCACAGGUGGAGUGCCACUGGAGCACAAGCCUUGCUCCCCCUUUCUCCCUUCUUGCUGGGGUGAGGCAUGGCCAAGGGGAGAGCAGGAGCUGCUCUGAAUCCCAGGAAUAUCACAGCUCUGAUCUGUGGUAUGAGAGCCCUGAAGUUCACACCAUUACUGCAGAGGGGUUAGUCCCUGUUUGCUGCGGGGGGAAUGAGGACUGAUGAUUGCUGGUCACAGAGGAUUGGGAAGAAUUCCAUAUUGGAGAGGGCAAGGAACAAAUGGACGGUUUCCAUCCCCAUUUUGGAUCCGGGAAGUUCCCUGAGCUCCCUGUAAAUGUCUGCUCACGCCCAGCUCCUCAGCCACGGCCGGGUUUAGGUGACUGCUGCAAAGGAGCCCUGGCAGCAUGCAGUAUUUUGCCCACAGGCACAGGUUUUUUUUGCUACAUCAUUAUUUUGAUACCCAGUGGUUUGUAGGGCUGGAUGUCAGUUGUUUGCCAAAGGCCUCGGAGCAGCAGUGCUCAGGAA